GUUUAAGGGUACACUAUGGACAAAAUUUUACAAAUUUUGUCAAGGCUACUGACCUGGAAGCUAAUGGACGAAUUGGACCAAAUCUCUCCUGGAUCAGCGGGUACACUAUGGACAAAAUUUUACAAAUUUUGUCAAGGCUACUGACCUGGAAGCUAAUGGACGAAUUGGACCAAAUCUCUCCUGGAUCAGCGUUUUUCUCUUUUCGUUUAAGGGUACACUAUGGACAAAAUUUUACAAAUUUUGUCAAGGCUACUGACCUGAAGCUAAUGGACGAAUUGGACCAAAUCUCUCCUGGAUCAGCGG